GUCCGUUAGUUUUUUCCAUAUCUGAAUUAAUCAGUGUUGGCCGCGUACUAGUUGUCAUAUAUAAAUUUUAGUACUUCUUAUGAUGACAAUACAGCAGUUUACUCAAGGAAUGGAGACGCAUGGAUUCACUUAUCUCACACGUGGGAAAGUAUCAACAUCCUACAUUAAUGGACUGGAGGAGGUCGAGAAUAUUGCAGGUUUAAUGCAGUCUACGUAUAAUAGUUACUCAAAGUAAUUAAAAUUCAAUUGAUAGAAGUGCAUCAAAAAGAUGGUGUCAUGAAACCCUGACCAUUACAUAAAAAGGCAGUACGGCAGAUCACUCAAGUCACGCUGAUACAUGAAUUCACAUUUCUCACGCGUGGGAUAGUAUCAACAGCCUACGUUGCAAAUGAACUAGAAGAUGCUGAGAAUAAUACGUGUUAUAUGCAAUAUGGCAGUACGGCAGUUCACUUAAGGAAUUCUGACGCAUGGAUUCACUUAUCUCACACGUGGGAAAGUAUCAACAUCCUAUGUUGCAAAUGGACUAGAAGAUGCUGAGAAUAAUACGUGUUAUAUGCAAUAUGGCAGUACGGCAGUUCACUUAAGGAAUUCUGACGCAUGGAUUCACUUAUCUCACACGUGGGAAAGUAUCAACAUCCUAUGUUGCAAAUGGACUAGAAGAUGCUGAGAAUAAUACGUGUUAUAUGCAAUAAGGCAGUACGGCAGAUCACUCAAGUCACGCUGAUACAUGAAUUCACAUUUCUCACGCGUGGGAUAGUAUCAACAGCCUACGUUGCAAAUGAACUAGAAGAUGCUGAGAAUAAUACGUGUUAUAUGCAAUAUGGCAGUACGGCAGUUCACUUAAGGAAUUCUGACGCAUGGAUUCACUUAUCUCACACGUGGGAAAGUAUCAACAUCCUAUGUUGCAAAUGGACUAGAAGAUGCUGAGAAUAAUACGUGUUAUAUGCAAUAUGGCACUACGGCAGAUCACACAAGGCAUGCUGAGACAUGGAUUCACAUUUC